CCUACGGGAGGCAGCAGUGAGGAAUAUUGGUCAAUGGACGAGAGUCUGAACCAGCCACGUAGCGUGAAGGAUGACUGCCCUAUGGGUUGUAAACUUCUUUUAUAAAGGAAUAAAACGAGGCACGUGUGCCUUUUUGCAUGUACUUUAUGAAUAAGGAUCGGCUAACUCCGUGCCAGCAGCCGCGGUAAUACGGAGGAUCCGAGCGUUAUCCGGAUUUAUUGGGUUUAAAGGGAGCGUAGAUGGGUUGUUAAGUCAGUUGUGAAAGUUUGCGGAUCAACCGUAAAAUUGCAAUUGAUACUGGGAGUCUUGAGUACAGUUGAGGUAGGAGGAAGUCGUGGUGUAGCGGUGAAAUGCUUAGAUAUCACGAAGAACCCCGAUUGCGAAGGCAGCUUACUAAACUGUGACUGACAUUGAGGCUCGAAAGUGUGAGGAUCAAACAGGAUUAGAUACCCCAGUAGUC
rnacentral:rRNA from 1 species